UACAGAGGUCUCAAGCGUUGUUCGGAUUCAUUGGGCGUAAAGGGUGCGUAGGCGGCGCGGUAAGUCGGGUGUGAAAUUUCGAGGCUUAACUUCGAAACUGCAUUCGAUACUGCCGUGCUAGAGGACUGGAGAGGAGACUGGAAUUUACGGUGUAGCGGUGAAAUGCGUAGAUAUCGUAAGGAAGACCAGUGGCAAAGGCGGGUCUCUGGACAGUUCCUGACGCUGAGGCACGAAGGCCAGGGGAGCAAACGGG
rnacentral:rRNA from 1 species